GAGCCAGGGAAGGGGAGAAAAAAAGCAUUCAGAAAGAAUUCACCUUUUGCAACCCAUUUCUGGACAACUUUAUUUAAUACCCAAAUUCAUUCUACUAUCAAAUCAUCUUACCUAAUUAUUUGUCUUUUAUGACUGCUUUUCAUCAACUGCUUUUCUGUUGCUGCCUCAUGUACCAGAUUUGAGCAAAAUGCACUUUCUGUGCUGCCCCCUUUUCUAAGUAGGACACUGAACAUGGGCAGCUGCUGCUGCGCCUAGCAUUGUGGGAAGGAGAGAUUUAGUCCAGACUUCCACUGGAAAGUUCUAUUUAAUUUAUACAGUACUGUAGAUUAGUAGAAUUUACAUGUGUGUAUGGACUUUAUACUGGCAUCAGUGUAAGCAGGUACGUUACUUCAACUUAUUAUCUCAGUCUCACUGUCAGCAUCUGAAUAGUCUGGAUACUUGUAGGAUAUAUUUAUUUGUAUCUUCAUAAUCCCCAGUCAGGGGGACAGUCUCUCCACAGAGUACUAACUCCGUAAAGAGCAUUCAGAUGCUACAGUUGUGAGCACUUAAGAAAUGCAAGUGCAUUCAUUGAUUUAUGUAGCACCUAUUACCAUUGGAUCUAAAUCUGCUAUUUACAAAGCUGUAGUACAUCAGUUAAGUGAAAAUAUGGAAAAUUUAAAACUAAACAAAUUAAAUAUGAUGUGUGUCAUGCCUAGAAAACCAUUAAGGCCACUACUUGGUUAACAUACUCUUGCUUUUUGUUGCUUUGUCACUUCACUGAGGCUUCCUUGAAGUGACUAAACAAACAACUGCAGACAUCCAGAAUUGACCUAGGCUAUCACCCUGUCAAGCCUUUAUCAAGUUGCUUAGUAAGGAACCCAGAUUCAAGGGAGAGAGUUUGGGGUCCCAGUCAUCGUUAGCUAAAUCAGAGCUCUAGCAUUCAGGACAUCCUGUAAGCUUGUGACACUGGGGGGCAAAGAUUCUAGCAAUGAAUGAAUGGAUCACAUGGGUGAAGGGAAAGGGCAGAAGGUGACAAGUGAAGCAGCAGAGAACUGGAGCGGUAACUGCUAACUGGAUGGGGGGACAGGGAAGUUAAAGAGCAAUUAAUUGAAGAGGAUGAGGACUGUGAAGGGCAGCAGCAAAAAUGUGAUAGCAUCACAUCAGAGAAGUCAGAUUCAGAGAAAUGGCACAAUGAAGGGAUUUGGGUCCACCUCCGUUUAGAACUCCAUAUCAUAGGAUUCUUACUUCAG